UACGUAGGGUGCAAGCGUUGUCCGGAAUCAUUGGGCGUAAAGCGCGCGUAGGCGGCUGGGUAAGUCUGUUGUGAAAGUCAAAGGCUCAACCUUUGAAUGCCGAUGGAUACUGUCGAGCUAGAGUCCGGAAGAGGCGAGUGGAAUUCCUGGUGUAGCGGUGGAAUGCGCAGAUAUCAGGAGGAACACCAAUAGCGAAGGCAGCUCGCUGGGACGGUACUGACGCUAAGGCGCGAAAGCGUGGGGAGCGGACAGG
rnacentral:rRNA from 1 species